rnacentral:rRNA from 1 species
UAGGGAAUCUUCGGCAAUGGACGGAAGUCUGACCGAGCAACGCCGCGUGAGUGAAGAAGGUUUUCGGAUCGUAAAGCUCUGUUGUAAGAGAAGAACGAGUGUGAGAGUGGAAAGUUCACACUGUGACGGUAACUUACCAGAAAGGGACGGCUAACUACGUGCCAGCAGCCGCAGUAAUACGUAGGUCCCGAGCGUUAUCCGGAUUUAUUGGGCGUAAAGCGAGCGCAGGCGGUUAGAUAAGUCUGAAGUUAAAGGCUGUGGCUUAACCAUAGUACGCUUUGGAAACUGUUUAACUUGAGUGCAGAAGGGGAGAGUGGAAUUCCAUGUGUAGCGGUGAAAUGCGUAGAUAUAUGGAGGAACACCGGUGGCGAAAGCGGCUCUCUGGUCUGUAACUGACGCUGAGGCUCGAAAGCGUGGGGAGCAAACAGGAUUAGAUACCCUGGUAGUCCACGCCGUAAACGAUGAGUGCUAGGUGUUGGGUCCUUUCCGGGACUCAGUGCCGCAGCUAACGCAUUAAGCACUCCGCCUGGGGAGUACGACCGCAAGGUUG